GUACUUACUUGGCAGGGGAGGUACCAUGAUCAGACAGGUGGCUUUCCCAGGGUGAGGCUCAUCCUUUGCUCUCUGGGUGUGCUGACCCCUGCAGUUUCCCCAGAUGCAGGAAACAUGGCUGCAUAAUUUGUGGUAGUGGGGGAUGGCAUUCAUUAUUUUUACCUUUUUGGGACCCUCC
ensembl:snRNA U1 U1 spliceosomal RNA